GAAGACUCAAAUGAAAUUUCUCCACUUCUGCAGUUUGAGAACAAACAUAGAAGCCCAAAUCCCUAUUUUGCAGCAUCUGCAGGUGUGUAUCAUGAAAAUGAUCUGAUUGUUGCAGAGGAAUGAAGAGGCUAUAUUUUCUUUUCGAACCUGAGGAUGGCCACCACAUCAGGAUGCUGCUCUACAUGGACGACGAGAACCCCAGUGGAAUACUUCCAAGCUGCCUUUCCUCCUUUGCCUUACUGAAGCAUUGUUUAUCAGGAAGUAAGCAGCACACUCAUAGAUGUUCUGACCAGGGGAAAGCAUCACUUAAUUCUGUAAGGCCUCAAGAAGAAGUUUUAAAUCAUGAGUUGACCUUUGGCUGUGAAGAGUGAGUAAAUUAUUCAGAAUCUUAGUCCUAAAUGUCUCAUUAUACAGCCUAAGCUGGCACUGGAAAAAUAAAGUCAGAUUUAUAAACAACUCAAGACAGAUCAUUGGUAAAUUAAUAUUAAGAUCUCACAUCAUUAUAUUUCCAUUUUAUUUUGUAUUUGUGUUUUGAAAGCUGUCCUUAGGCUCUGAACGUAUGUCAUCUGGUUAUGAACAGUUCAGCAUGGAAUAUUGAAAAUAUUCUCACCAAACAAGUGCCACAAUUUUAUUCAGAAUUAGCUAAAGGGCAUAACACUGUAAAAAAAAAAAAAUGAACCACUCAUUUGCUGUCAUCAGAAAUGUGGAAAUGGCUCUAGGCAACAGCUGAAGAGUCCUUUUGAACUUGAGAGGUUCACUCAUUUGGCAGUGUGGAGGAUCUUGUUUGUCCUGCUAGUUCUAAAGAACUAUUUAUCCUCAAAUAAUUCCAGUAAGUAAGGCACAAGAAAAAAAAUCAUCAACCUCAUUUUCUUCUAAAUAUCUCUCUUUAUGUUAUUAUGGUAUUUUAUAUCACAUCCAAAACACGGCC